GGUGGUUCGCAGGUUUAGCAGAGUCCGGUCGCGUCAGCCAGGCGGUCCUAAGCCGUCCAGCCUCACCUGAUCUGGCCCGGUCCAGAAGAACCGCCCGACCGAGCCCGGACUCAUGAGCAGCAGGAACUCGGUACUGUUUUAAGUCCCACGCUGUCACAGGGAACCGGGGCGUGUGGAGACUUGUAUGGUCAGGACACUUUGGCCCGGCGUGCUGGCCCUCACGGAGCGGGAGGCGGCGGCCGAAGGUUCAAGCCGGACCCGCACGAGGGUGGAGGAGCAGGGCUGCUCAGGCUUGGCCGUGAGCAGCCCACGUCCCAGUCACGAAGAAUUCCGAAUGGGACACCGGUGUUCUCAACUCGAGCACUUUGAAUGCAUCCUCUCUCUAUCUCCUGGCCUUCGUGGGUUUGCUGAGAAAUCCUCUCCCAGCCUUAUGGGGAUUCCCUUGUAGGUGGAGAAGAGGAUGUGAAGAUAGAGCUGAGAGAGAUCUGAAGAUGCUGGCACUGAAGAUUGGAGAGAUGUGGCCAUGAGCCAAGGAAUGCUAACAGCCACCAGAACCUGAAAGAGGCAAGGGAUGGAUUCCUUCCUAGAGCCUCUAGAGGGAGCACCGCACUGACCACACCUUGAUUUUGGCCCCGUGAGACUGAUUUCAGACUUCUGUCCUCCAGAACUGUCAAGAUUGCUGUACCAGUAGAGCAACAUGACAGCUUAAUGUGAAGACUAAGGGCUUUCUUGCCCCCGUCCCCCGAAGCCCUCUGCGCUGGGCCGAGCUAACCCUGCAGGCAACCAGACAGCUGUUGUAGGUGCUGACGUGAUAAGAAGUUGGACCCUCCAUGGCGCUUGU